UACGUAGGGUGCGAGCGUUAAUCGGAAUUACUGGGCGUAAAGUGUGCGCAGGCGGCUUCGCAAGUCGAGUGUGAAAUCCCCGAGCUUAACUUGGGAAUUGCGCUCGAAGCUACGGAGCUGGAGUGUGGCAGAGGAAGGUGGAAUUCCACGUGUAGCGGUGAAAUGCGUAGAGAUGUGGAGGAACACCGAUGGCGAAGGCAGCCUUCUGGGCCAACACUGACGCUCAUGCACGAAAGCGUGGGGAGCAAACAGG
rnacentral:rRNA from 1 species